CGGGGAAUAUUGGACAAUGGGCGAAAGCUGAUCCAGCCAUGCCGCGUGUGUGAAGAAGGCCUUUUGGUUGUAAAGCACUUUAAGUGGGGAGGAAAAGCUUAUGGUUAAUACCCAUAAGCCCUGACGUUACCCACAGAAUAAGCACCGGCUAACUCUGUGCCAGCAGCCGCGGUAAUACAGAGGGUGCAAGCGUUAAUUGGAAAAAUUUGGGGGAAAAAGCGCGCGUAGGUGGUUAUUUAAGUCAGAUGUGAAAGCCCCGGGCUUAACCUGGGAACUGCAUCUGAUACUGGAUAACUAGAGUAGGUGAGAGGGGAGUAGAAUUCCAGGUGUAGCGGUGAAAUGCGUAGAGAUCUGGAGGAAUACCGAUGGCGAAGGCAGCUCCCUGGCAUCAUACUGACACUGAGGUGCGAAAGGCGUGGUAGCAAACAGGAUUAGAUACCCUGGUAGUCCACGCCGUAAACGAUGUCUACCAGUCGUUGGGUCUUUUAAAGACUUAGUGACGCAGUUAACGCAAUAAGUAGACCGCCUGGGGAGUACGGCCGCAAGGUUA
rnacentral:rRNA from 1 species